rnacentral:rRNA from 1 species
GACGAACGCUGGCGGCGUGCUUAACACAUGCAAGUCGAACGAUGAACCGGCUUCGGCCGGGGAUUAGUGGCGAACGGGUGGGUAACACGUGGGCAAUCUGCCCUGCACUCUGGGACAAGCCCUGGAAACGGGGUCUAAUACCGGAUAUGACGCGCUUCCGCAUGGGAUGCGCGUGGAAAGCUCCGGCGGUGCAGGAUGAGCCCGCGGCCUAUCAGCUUGUUGGUGAGGUAAUGGCUCACCAAGGCGACGACGGGUAGCCGGCCUGAGAGGGCGACCGGCCACACUGGGACUGAGACACGGCCCAGACUCCUACGGGAGGCAGCAGUGGGGAAUAUUGCACAAUGGGCGAAAGCCUGAUGCAGCGACGCCGCGUGAGGGAUGACGGCCUUCGGGUUGUAAACCUCUUUCAGCAGGGAAGAAGCGAGAGUGACGGUACCUGCAGAAGAAGCGCCGGCUAACUACGUGCCAGCCGCCGCCGUAACAC